UUUACCUUAAAUAUUCGAAAAAUAUCGUUUUUUCCGUGACUUUCUAGCAAAACUGGUCUAGCCGCACAAGUUUUUCAUAUACCAUAUUCUCAGGUUCAGCUUCUAAAAUGAGCUGUAGGUGAUUGAAUUUAGAUAUGACGAAAUGAAAUGUUCAGCACUGAUCCUACGUACCAUACUGUCAAGUAGAAGGUGUGACAAACAUUAAAUUGAUAUUGUGACCAAAAAAGACAUAGUAUAGACGGAAAUACAAUCAUUUAAUCUUAAUAUUUUUAUGAAAUACUAGUAGUUAUACAACAUUAUUUUAACAUGACAUGCAAGCUAAUUUAUUAAUUGGUAACUUGGUAUUAAAUCGAUUAUGAGGGAUUAGACGAUGUGCAAAAAUAAAUUCCAUCAUGAUUGGUUGGUGUUUAGUAUGACGGGAAUUAAAUAAAAACCACAUCUAUUGCCCGUUGUGAAGAUUUAUAGAUUCCGACGCAAAUAGAUGAUAAGGCUUAUUUUCAGCGUAGGUGCGUUAUAAAUGUUUGUUUACAAUGCAAAACUAUCACCAAAUGUGUACCUAAAAACACAGCGUCAAAUAUCCACCAGGACGCGGUCUGGUAUUAUAUCUGUGUGCCCACGAAAGAGAAAUCCACGCAACUAAUUUUCGCGCAGGAGUCUAAACAGAUGGAAUCUCCGCAAUAUCAACUUUUAUAUAAUUUGCUUUCGCCUCUGUUACAGUAAAAACUUCACAUUUUGGAAUUUCUAUCACACUAUUAUGUAUCACAUCUUCCAGCGACUACAAAUAAAGCCCAUCGUCUCCAUCGCAAUUUGUUUGUUAAUUUCUCUCUAUCUUCUUUAUCUAGGCACUCAAAUCGAUGAAAGCAAAUCUCCGUCAGGAACUACUCGUCCGUUUGGAUGAUCAACUAACAAUGGAACAGAAGAAACUUUCUCAACAGUGGAUUACUACCGAGUGUCAGGAAAAAUUCAAACAAUUUAUCAACCGUGGUGGGGAGUGGUAAUGAUUUCCUUCAUGUAGGUAAGUCCCGAGCAGAAAAAAAACCACUUCGCACCACGACAUGGGUUCAAUCCGAAGCAAUCCAGCAACCCAGUUUCUGCGGAUUAAUCGUUAUUUCAUGAAACAGAACUUAGAACGAGGAAUUUCAUUAUAAAUUUUUUGAAUGGAAUUGAUUAACGUUAUCGGUUAUUGAUAAGAUAAAAGUUAAAUUCGUAGAAAUUUUUGUAACGAUGUCAAAAUUUAUUCAUGUUCUAUUGAAAACCGAUUAAUAUUUACUACUCUUCAGAUAUCUAAUAAACUAAUUCAAUUGUUUCAAAUAGAAUUUAUUUCCAUAUAAUGCGAAUAAUUACUACAAUUGGCAUACAAUUGUGGCGCGUUGAGUGCAAAUAUUUGUUUUCUUAUUUACGCAAAAAUCUGGAGCAGAUAUUUUUUUAUCUUUAUAGAAUCCAUAGACACUACACGUGUAUAGCCCAUAAGCAGAUGAAACUUGUGGAAACAAAAUCCACCAUCAAUUUAUUUAGACUACACCUAUUGCAAUAUCUCUAUGAACAAACCGAAAUAAAUUUUUCAGUUCUUUCUAUUAGAAA